rnacentral:rRNA from 1 species
GACGAACGCUGGCGGCGUGCUUAACACAUGCAAGUCGAACGGAAAGGCUCCAGCUUGCUGGAGUGCUCGAGUGGCGAACGGGUGAGUAACACGUGGGCAACCUGCCCUGCACUCUGGGAUAAGUCUGGGAAACUGGGGCUAAUACCGGAUAGGACCUGUUACUGCAUGGGGUCUGGUGGAAAGUUUCUCGGUGCGGGCUGAGCCCGCGGCCUACCAGGUUGUUGGUGGGGGAAUGGCCUACCAAGGCGACGACGGGUGGCCGGCCUGAGAGGGGGAUCGGCCCCAUUGGGACUGGGAUGCCGCCCAGACUCCUACGGGAGGCAGCAGUGGGGAAUAGUGCGCGAUGGGCGGAAGCCUGAUGCAGCGACGCCGCGUGAGGGAUGACGGCCUUCGGGUUGUAAACCGCUUUCGGUUGGGACGAAGCGCAAGUGACGGUACCUGCAGAAGAAGCACCGGCUAACUACGUG